rnacentral:rRNA from 1 species
UACGUAGGGGGCAAGCGUUGUCCGGAAUCAUUGGGCGUAAAGCGCGUGUAGGCGGUUCGAUAAGUCUGCUGUGAAAGUCCAGGGCUCAACCCUGGAAAGCCGGUGGAUACUGUCAGACUAGAGUGCGGAAGAGGCGAGUGGAAUUCCCGGUGUAGCGGUGAAAUGCGCAGAUAUCGGGAGGAACACCAAUUGCGAAGGCAGCUCGCUGGGACGUUACUGACGCUGAGACGGCGAAAGCGUGGGGAGCAAACAGG